UCGAGGAUCUUCGGCAAUGGGCGCAAGCCUGACCGAGCGACGCCGCGUGCGCGAUGAAGGCCUUCGGGUUGUAAAGCGCUGUCGAGGGGGAGGAAAGCCCGCAAGGGCCUGACCUAUCCCUGGAGGAAGCACGGGCUAAGUUCGUGCCAGCAGCCGCGGUAAGACGAACCGUGCGAACGUUGUUCGGAAUCACUGGGCUUAAAGGGCGCGUAGGCGGCUUCCCAAGUCCGGGGUGAAAUCUUUCGGCUUAACCGGAAAAGUGCCUUGGAUACUGGGAGGCUCGAGGGGGGUAGGGGCAAGCGGAACUUCCGGUGGAGCGGUGAAAUGCGUUGAUAUCGGAAGGAACGCCGGCGGCGAAAGCGGCUUGCUGGACCCCAUCUGACGCUGAUGCGCGAAAGCCAGGGGAGCGAACGGGAUUAGAUACCCCUGUAGUCC
rnacentral:rRNA from 1 species